AUGUUGGGAUCGGGAAUGGGAAUGGGGGAAAUUCCCAGAGAUCUUCCCGCGGCUCCGGCCUGGAACGGGAGCGGUUCCCAAAUCCCAAAAUCUGGGAAUUCUGGGAUCUCCUUUCCCCAAAAUCCGGGAAUUCUGGGAUUUCCUCUCCCUCAAAUCCAGGAAUUCCGGGAUCUCCUCUCCCCCAUUCCUGAGGAUCCCAUCAGGACCCUCCCGGCACCUCCAAAUUCCCUCCAAAUCCCCCAAAAUUCCCGAAAAUCCCAGCGGGAUGAUCCCGACUCCCAUCCCUGCCAGGAGUUCCCGUUCUCAGCCCCCCAAAAAUUCCCAAAAAUCCACAAAAUUCCGCCCCAAAUCCCCCCAAAAUUCCCAAAAAUCUCCCGAAAAUUCCUCCAAAACUCUCAGUCCCCCCCAAAUUCCCAAAAAUCCUCUCAAUCCUUCCCCAAAUUCCUGGAAUUUUCCCCCAAUCCCUCCCAGAAUUUAAAAGAGAUCCCUCAAAAUUCCCAAAAAUCUCCCAAAUUCCCAAAAAAACUCCCUCAAAAUUCCCAAAAAUCUCCUGAAUUCCCAAAAAACCCCCUCAAAAUUCCCAAAAAUCUCCCGAAUUCCCAAAAAACUCUCCCAAUCCCCUCCAAAAAUUCCCUCAAAAUCCCAAAAAUCCUCAAAUCCUCCCCAGAAUUCCCGGAAUUUCCUUUUCCAGCGGCUCGGGAUUUCGGGAUCGGAGCCGCCCGGGGGAAUCCCGGGAUGAGGCUCCGGGAAGGGAUCCCAAAAAUCCGGGAUUUGGGAUCCGAGUUUGGUUUAUUACCAUCAGAAUUCCGGCAUUUGGAAUUUCGGGACUCGCAGCAUUCCCGGUUCCCGCCUGCUUUUCCCGCUAUUUAUUCCCGGUGUUUAUUCCCGCCAUUCCCGUUGUUUAUUCCCGGUAUUUUUUCCCGCCAUUCCCGGUGUUUAUUCCCGGGACCUUCCUUGAGCCGCGGCCCAGCCGGGACCCCCCAAUUCCCGAUGAAUUCCCAAGAAAUUCCCAAGGAAUUCCUGGGAUCCCGUCCCUCUGUUCUGGCCAUUCCCAAACUUUCCUGGGAGACGGGAGAGCGCCGCUGCCCCCGGACAGUCCCGGAAUUCCCGGGAUUUCCCCCCGAAUUCCCAGGAUUUCCCCGAAUUCCCAGGAUUUCCCCCCGAAUUCCCGGGAUUUCCCCGAAUUCCCAGGAUUUCCCCCCGAAUUCCCCGGAUUUUCCUGAAUUCCCAGGAUUUCCCCCCCGCAUUCCCGAGGGUCCCGAUCCCGGCCCCUCCCCCUCUCCCGGCCCUUCUCUCCUGCCGGGAGCGGGAAUUUGGGAAUUCGGGAAUUCCGAGGGUCCCAGGAUGGGGCGAGGGGCGGCCGUGCCUCAGUUUCCCCUGGAUUGCGGCGGCGCCAGGAAGGGGCGGGAAUUCGGGAAUUUGGGGGAUCCACGGACGAGGGGGAGGGGCCGUGCCUCAGUUUCCCCAGGAAAGCCGCAGGAAAGAGCGGGAAUUCGGGAAAAUUUGGGAAUUCGGGGGAUCCCAGGAUACGGAGAGGGGAGGGAUUUGUGCCUCAGUUUCCCCCGGAACGCGGCAGCGAGGUGCGGGAAUCGGGGAAUUCGGGGAAUUGGGGAUUCGGGAAUUUGGGGGAUUCGGGGUCGAUCCCCCCCGAGCUGGGCUGGGAAUUGUCUCGGGAAUUGUCUCGGGAAUUGUCUCGGGAAUUGUCUCGGGAAUUCUUUCGGGAAUUGUCUCGGNAAAUCCAGGAGAGCUCCGGGAAACUCCGGGAGAGCUCCGGGAAAAUCCAGGAGAGCUCCGGGAAAACUCCGGGAAAACUCCGGGAGAGCUCCGGGAGCGGCCCCGCGGAUCCAUCGGAGCGGGUACGGGAAUCCUGGAAUUCCCAAAUCCCCGAAUCCCCGAUUCCCUCCCGGAAUUCCCAAAUUCCCGAAUCCCCGAAUCCCUCCCUGA
ensembl:lncRNA